rnacentral:rRNA from 1 species
UACGAAGGGGGCUAGCGUUGUUCGGAUUUACUGGGCGUAAAGCGCGCGUAGGCGGGUUGUUAAGUCAGGGGUGAAAUGCCGAGGCUCAACCUCGGAACUGCCUUUGAUACUGGCAACCUGGAGUUCGGGAGAGGUGAGUGGAAUUCCGAGUGUAGAGGUGAAAUUCGUAGAUAUUGGGAAGAACACCAGUGGCGAAGGCGGCUAUCUGGCUCGGUACUGACGCUGAGGCGCGAAAGCGUGGGGAGCAAACAGG